rnacentral:lncRNA from 1 species
AAAAUCUUGUCACCCUUGGCCGACCUGCAUCCAGGUCACAACAGACUCCUUGCCUCGUUGCUUCAACUUUACCUGCCUCGGCAGUCUCACUUGUGUUCCAGUCGAACCUUACAAAAGAAAGUCCUUGCUGAGACCACUUGAGAAGGACACAGAGUGUGUGUUAUCUGUACCUGGCUACUGAUGAAAGAGGACAGUGCUGAGAAUCUCCUUAUCUUUACAGACUGAGACAGGAAGUGUGUGGUUUGGGAAAUUUAGCAUAUGUGCUGUGGUAAUGAUUCAAGGACUCCAUCGAAUGUUGAAGUAAAGAACUCAAGUUGAACAUUUUUUUCAUGUAUUUAUUUGCUAUUUCUACUUUCUUCUCUGAGAAAUGUCUGUUCAUUUCAGUACCCAUUUUCAGAUUGGGUCUUUAAAUUUGGGAGGUCUGAUCUUUGUAGGUUCUUUAUAGAUUCGAGAUAGUAGACCUUUGUCUGAGGAAAAGCAGGUGAAGAUUUUUUCCCACAUUUUGGGUUGUGUCUUCACAUUGCUGGUGGUUUCUCUUGCU